rnacentral:lncRNA from 1 species
UAAUGUGAUAUUAUUUGGUAUUCUGCAAGUAGUCAACAUAUUUCCUCUGUUACUUUCUCUAUCUUUUUUUAGGUGCAUUAUAUCUGCAGAUUCACAGCCAGAUUCUGAAAUUCUGCGUCCUGUGAGUUUGACUUUACUGGUCCAGAGAAAUUUAGCAGCAGCAUGGUAUCAUAAGAGCCCAACAAUUUGUAUCAAAGGAGACCUAAAACCAAUGCAGAUUGCACUCAGUGAAGAUGAUCUAACUGUUAUAAUGAAAAUUUUACUUGAAAACCUUGGAGGGGCUUCUUCCCAGCCAAAUACUCUGCAAGAGAAUAUUGAGGAUACUCAGAUACCUAAAAAAGGGAAAGCUCCACAUGAAUCUGGUGGCUCUGAGGGUGCCCUUGUUGAUUCUGGACAAAAAAGUGUUUCUGCAGUUCAGUCUUCUAUGGAAUGUUAUACAUUGCUUAAAUUUGACUUCAAUUUUGAGUCCCUUUCUGUAACUCUCUACAACAGUGACACGACUCAGGUUUGUGCCAAAGCUUUUAU